GUCAUCAUGUGACCUCAUGUGUCCUCGUGUGACCACCCGUGUCCUCGUUUGACCUCCCGUGUGAUCCUGUCACCUCCUGUGUCAUCGUGUGACCUCAUGUGUCCUCGUGUGACCUCCCGUGUCCUCGUGUGACCUCCCGUGUGAUCCUGUGACCUCCCGUGUCCUCAUGUGACCUCUUGUGUCCUAGUGUGACCUCCCGUGUGAUCCUGUGACCUCUUGUGUCCUCAUGUGACCUUGUGUGUCAUCGUGUGACCUCCCGUGUCCUCGUGUGACCUCCCGUGUGAUCCUGUGACCUCCCGUGUCCUCAUGUGACCUCCCGUGUCCUCGUUUGACCUCCCGUGUGAUCCUGUCACCUCUUGUGUCAUCGUGUGACCUUGUGUGUCCUCGUGUGACCUCAUGUCCUCGUGUGUCCUUCGUGUCCCCGUGUGCUACCGUGUCCUCAUGUGUGUCCCUGCAUCCCUGUGUCCUCAUGUCUUCACGUGUGAUCCCGUGUCCUCCUGUCCCCCAUCUGUGUUCUCGUGUGUCCCAAUGUGUCCCCACGCGUGUC
rnacentral:lncRNA from 1 species